rnacentral:lncRNA from 1 species
GGGCCAAGCUUGUGGCUGUUCUAUCAUUGCAAUCAGAUCCUUGCAGUCCAUCCCAAACUUCUGACAGGUCGAGUGUUGUAUCAUACUCUCCAUUGCCCAUUGUAGCGCUUCCAGUUCCGAGUGUAAAGGUGUCUCCCGCCUCCUUAAGUUCCUUGACCCCAUGAGUUGAAUUUUCCCCAUGGCAUUCUUCCAAACCCAUUCCAUUAGACUAAAAUGAGCUGUGGAGGUCCAUGAACCAUCCACCAUACAAAUAUUAUCCAAGCUUAAGGCUUGUGUUUCUUCAGCAGUCUGUACAUGUGGCGGAACCGGUACAAUGUCUCUUACAUUGUACCAAGCUUGGCCCUCACUCUCUGCAUACCUGACUAGUUCCAAUGUGUCUCUGUCUAUGCCUC